CUAGAACAGUCACAUUCUAGAAGGAAAUGGGUUUCUACAACAGUCUGACUUUAGAAGGAAGGGGGAAUUCUAGAACAGUCUGACUCUAGAAAGAAGUGUGGCUCUAGAACAACCCAACUUUAGAGCCGUUCCAGGUCAUAGCUGACGAGUUCAGCUAGGCAACAAGUCAAGUGUUCGGUUUGAAGAUCUGCGGAAGGUCUUUCUGUUUGGAUAUGAGGUGGAGACAGUCUUAAGAAGACCACAUGGAGAUGUGCACACCCACGAAGAAGGGACACAACCUUCUCAGCAUGGACUAGCACAUCGAGAGAUGUCCCCUUGGUUAUCUCACAAGACCACUCACUGAUCAUCUGCUGGGUCAGCCUCUUCCUUGAGCCAUCAGUGACUGAGGAGUGACAUCAGCUGUGGGACCCACGGUCUUCAUCAUGUACAAGUGACAGAGCCUCCGGAUCUUACUGGUCUUCCUGGACCAGUGAGGGUUGUAACGAUUCAAUAGUGAUGGUGAGAGCUUUUCCAAUCAGAGAC
rnacentral:lncRNA from 1 species